AUAUAUAUAUAUAUACACACACACACACAUAUAUACAUACAUACAUAUACACACACACACACACACACACACACACAUACAUACAUACAAUUGGAGAAAAGAUGGCAUCUACAACAAAUGGCACUGGGAAAACUAUUUCUACAUGGCUUUGUGUUUAUCAGAGAUUUAAGAGGUUGAUUCAUCGGGGACCUUGGACAUAGUCCGUGGCUUUAUUGGCUACAAUCUUUAUGUUGUAGGAUAGGCUUUGGUGGAGCUAAGUGACCUAGACCAGCUUCUAAAUUGGACUUAUAAAAACCAUAAAACAGUUCAGAGGCGAUAAAGGAGGAGCAAAACAAGAAAGGGGGCCUGUCUGGGUUCCUUGAUGGCAGACACAGCACGAUUCGUGUCACCUUGGAGUCACAGAGAAAACCCAGAAAGCUGAAUGUUGUGCUGAUGAGCUCCUGGAAGUUUUAAAACCUGAGACGUUCACUGAUAAAACAAUACAGGGCACUUUCAGCAAGCAGGUGUAGCCAACAGAAAAGGAUCUCUGUUGCUGCCCAAGGUCAGCUGACACUUGAUACGGAUUAUGGUGUUGAUUGAUGCAGUCCUUCGAGCCGGUGGCGACAGGAACAACACGGACACCAAGUCGGGUUCACACAACAGCUUCUUUACUUCUGGGUUUUCCCCCUACAGCUUUCUUCCCCAGCAGCUUCUACUAUCUACUACCUCCGUCCUUCUUGCAGCAAGGGCUAAACUCCUAUCCUCCUCCGACUGACCUCAUCUCUCUCCACCCCACCUCAUCCAAUCAGAAUUCACACACACACACACACACACACACACACACACACACACACACACACACAUGCUCCAGGCACGAGCUCAGGUCAGUCACCGAUAGGCUGACAGGUCCGGAUCACGAGGAACAGUCCAGCCUGGCAGGCAGCCCACACAUGCAGCCUCACUGCGCAUGCUCAGGGAAGGCAGUAAACAUCUUGGCCCAUGUGGCUGCAUCCACUUCUUGCAGUUGAUUAAGGCAUUUGGGUUGACUAGAAGUUAUUCCCAUUCAUAGCUUUCACAUUGUCUCUUUAGUAUGACUUCUCUAUUAAAAAUGCCAACCUUUCAAUGGAUAUUACAUAUUUAAGGUUCCUCAAUUCUACUAAUUCUCCCAUGAUGUGAGGCCUGCCUUACAUCUUUGAUUCCAUGUGUUACCUGUAUGUAUGUUCCAGAUAAUCCUUGUUACCCAUCCUAAGAGAGUGGUACUGUGUCUGGUCUA
rnacentral:lncRNA from 1 species